AUCGCUUUUCGCCCUUUUGGCUAAGAUCAAGUGUAGUAUCUGUUCCGAUUAGGGUUGCCACCUCAUCCCUUUAAAACCGAACACAUAUUAAUUACACAGGUUCUGUGGCUAAUUAAGGUGGUAAUUAGACUCAUUUGGUGCCUUACCUGCAUUAAAUUAGCCUCAGAACCUGUGUAAUUCAU